rnacentral:rRNA from 1 species
AGUCGAGGGGUAUAAGUAGCUUGCUAUUUAGAGACCGGCGCACGGGUGCGUAACGCGUAUGCAAUCUGCCUUUCACAAAGGGAUAGCCCAGAGAAAUUUGGAUUAAUACCUUAUGGUAUAUUGAUGUGGCAUCACAUUAUUAUUAAAGAUUUAUCGGUGAAAGAUGAGCAUGCGUCCCAUUAGCUAGUUGGUAAGGUAACGGCUUACCAAGGCUACGAUGGGUAGGGGUCCUGAGAGGGAGAUCCCCCACACUGGUACUGAGACACGGACCAGACUCCUACGGGAGGCAGCAGUGAGGAAUAUUGGACGAUGGGCGCAAGCCUGAUCCAGCCAUGCCGCGUGCAGGAUGAAGCAUCUAUGGUGUGUAAACUGCUUUUAUACGGGAAGAAACCCUGGCUCGUGAGCCAGACUGACGGUACCGUAAGAAUAAGGAUCGGCUAACUCCGUGCCAGCAGCCGCGGUAAUACGGAGGAUCCAAGCGUUAUCCGGAAUCAUUGGGUUUAAAGGGUCCGUAGGCGGCCUUAUAAGUCAGUGGUGAAAUCUCCCGGCUCAACCGGGAAAUUGCCAUUGAUACUGUAGGGCUUGAAUUAUUAGGAAGUAACUAGAAUAUGUAGUGUAGCGGUGAAAUGCUUAGAUAUUACAUGGAAUACCGAUUGCGAAGGCAGGUUACUACUAAUGGAUUGACGCUGAUGGACGAAAGCGUGGGUAGCGAACAGGAUUAGAUACCCUGGUAGUCCACGCCGUANACGAUGGAUACUAGCUGUUGGGGGCAACUUCAGUGGCUAAGCGAAAGUGAUAAGUAUCCCACCUGGGGAGUACGAACGCAAGUUUGAAACUCAA